rnacentral:misc_RNA from 1 species
GAUGAAGAACGUAGCGAAACGCGAUAAGUAAUGUGAAUUGCAGAAUUUAGUGAAUCAUCGAACUUUUGAACGCACAUUGCGCCCGGCGGCACUCCGCCGGGCAUGCCUGUCCGAGCGUCAUUGCUGCCCUUCAAGCCCGGCUUGUGUGUUGGGUCGUCGUCCCCCCCGGGGGACGGGCCCGAAAGGCAGCGGCGGCACCGCGUCCGGUCCUCGAGCGUAUGGGGCUUUGUCACCCGCUCGAUUAGGGCCGGCCGGGCGCCAGCCGGCGUCUCCAACCUUCUAUUUUACCAGGUUGACCUCGGAUCAGGUAGGGAUACCCGCUGAACUUAAGCAUAUCAAUAAGCGGAGGA